rfam:Paenibacillus polymyxa SC2, complete genome.
GAGGCGGCAUCGGACGGUCCGAGCUGCACUCCAAGGGCACAUUGCUCUACUUUAGCAAGUUUGUAAGACCAUCAUAACUUCAUUUGAAGGUUACGUUGGAUUCUGCUCUGAGCCGAACAGGACCGAGACAGAAGG